GGAGAUGCAGCCGCCGGCCUCGCGUUUGGGCGCCGUGCUGGCGCCUCUCCGCUUCAGGUGCCCUCCCUGCUGCCGGUGCGACACCACGGCUCCACCCCCACCUCCACCAAGCAGCUAAACUCUCUGGAACACACUGAGGUGGGGGAGGCUAUGGACUAUGUGCAGGAUGCACUCGCAAAAUUGCAGGAUAUUGACAAGUCAGUGGCGCGCAUGAAGAAGAACCUGUGGAUACUGAUUGGCUUGCUUGCACUAUCCACGUAUCCGUUCUUCCGGAUGCUUUACCUAGGCAUGCUGGAAGUCGCGAUUCUGGAACUGAGGGUCGAAGAGCUCGAGAAGCUCGAAGAGCUUGGGAAUGCUCUCGGCUGAUUUUGCUCUCUUGAUCAUGAUAAUACUGCAUGAUGGAUGAAAUCCUCGGUAUUGUCAAGUGAAUUGUGCCGGUUCGCCUUGACUUAAGAAACUGAUCUAGUUUAGGGCUCUUGACUUGUUCAUGGAUGUAUGUAAUGCAAGUGCCAAGUGGUGCAAACAAUUUGAAAUGUGCCAUUCUGAGA